GUAAAAUAAAAAUCAAACGACGGAAUCCAUCAUAAUGUUCAUUUUCUAGAUAUUUAGAAAAUUAAUUCAUGUUUGAAAAAAAAAUCCAAGAUAAAGUAUAACUGAAAAAAUAAAAAAACUCAUGAUAAUUUCCUAAGAAAUCAAAUGAGAAUCUUCAAUGUUGACAUUGUUUUAAAGUCGGCUUCAAUGGUGUUUUUCAAGUUGUUUUCUUAAAUAUUCUAUGACGGUUACUUUUAUCUUCUUAUUUUGUCAUAUAUACGUAAUUCCCAAAGAAUCUACAAAUUGCGAUUUUCCGCAAUUUGGUGCGCAAUUCCGUGAAAUCGAUACUGCCUACCAUGCGCUUGUGUAGGUCACAUGCUCAUGUGGAGUGAUUUAGCCCGUGUAGCUCCUGCAGCUUGCUCUCGAGUUUUAAACAUUAAAAUAUGAAUUUAAAAUAUUAAGAGUAUAAAAUUCACAAUUAACAUUAGAGAAUCACCCAAAAACACAUUAAGAAUAAGGUUAAAACAAAUGACAUGACAUACUUAAUAAUGCAUAGUACUAUUCAGAGUAAUCCUAUCCUCAACCGCUGUACACCAACUUCGUCUAUCCAACACACCAAACAGGGUUGCUAUGUACCCAUCCAACUAGAACACCAAAAUUUGUAGUCGUAAGCCAUCAAAAUAUGCAGAUAAGCUGCCAGAUAUAUAUCGUGAAAAUACUACCAGAAACAGAUAUCACAGGUUACCUGCCAAAUCAGAGUUGCGGGAAAACAGCCAGAAUCGUAGAUCAUAGUCUGCCAAAACUUCCUCCAAGUCAAACAUAUCCCAAAUCCCAAUGCACAUGCAGAUGUCCUGACAUACUAAGCAUACUCAAAUCAUACAUGUCCAUAUGCAUAUUAAACAGAUCGGUAACAUGCUAAUGGUACAUAUAGUUUAACAAAUCAGAAACAAGUUAUUGGCAAGUUCGGCCCUCGCAAAUAAAACAAGCAAGUAUCACUUUCAACAACACGUUGAAACAUACAUGCAAUCAGCUAACUCAAAUCAAGCAUACUCACCUUCAAUCACGACACCCAACUUACCUACUCGGAUUCAGCCAUAACCGAAACACACCCAUAGCCAAUCGACUAACACCAAAUUUAACAAUUAAGGGAAUACUUACUUUCAGCCAGCACCAGAAAAAAAAAACUCAGUCACAACCGAACGAGUUUAAUUAAAACACCGCAACAUUUGAUUAACUUCUACUCUCACAAAUCAAGUAGGGUUAAAACAUACACCUAAUUGUUUUUGAGGUGUCGGCACUACAACAACAAUCCGCGCUCUGCCCAUGACAUCAAACCUUAACCAAUUGGCAUCCAUAAUAGAAAAUCAGCCUAAGGCAUUCAGCCCUUGCUCCCUGAGAGCAUUCGACCAAAGCAAAAAUUAACACCUGCCAGCCCCUUGACUAGGCUUUCAACUACUUACCCUAAGGAGUAGAGGUUUCCAAGGCACUUAAUUCGCAGGAGGGGUAUGCGCCUCACGAUCCUCACCUUAAUAGAACCAAAAACGAUUAGACCAUCACUAUUCAGCCAACAACAACCAACAAACCCCUCAAAUAAAACCGGAAACAAGCUUUUUUUAAAACAAAUGGAUUACACUUACGCAAAAUUAUGAUAUUAUACUGAAACUCCAAAUCACACACAACCAGUAACGAGACCAGAGGGUUAGCUACGGCACUAGGAAGGAUCAAAGUCUGGACGGCGGCAACACAGUAGGUAGGGAUUGCAAAAGAUGAAAUCAAGAGGGUGUUAACGUGAAAUUAUGGAAACAAAUGAGUAAAAAGAAAGAAGAUAAAGAAAGGAGGGAAAAAUAGAGAGAAUUCAACAAAAGAGGAGGUUACAGCAACAAAAGUGGAAAACAAAGAAAAGUGGGGAAAUGGGGGAGAGGGGGGCGACACUAGGAGGAUUUUUAGGAGAUAAGUCCUCAAAAUUUUAAAAAAUAAACUAAUUAAAUCCUACCUAAUCUGAUUCCGUUUUUAUCUCAAUCAGGUUGCCUAGAGUUUGAGUUUGACCAACAUGGGUGGCACAGCAGGGAAGAAAUAAUAAUAAUAAACAAUCAUUUCACUUAAGCACAAACGAGAUUUGAAUUUGAGUUGCAGAAGGAAAAGGAGAAUGCUUAACCAUGGGGCUGUUGCCCACACUUGUUAAUAAACUUAUGAAAACUAGAGAUAAUCUAAGCGUCACAAGCUAGAUAUUGGGAGAAAAAUAAUAAAAAAAAUUACGGGAAAGAAGUCGAAC
rnacentral:lncRNA from 1 species